ACUACAAUUAUAAUAUUAUAUUAUAUUCAUUGCGAUGAUAAUUUUUUUUUUUUUUUUUUUUUUUUUUUUUUUUUUUUUUUUUUUUUUUUUUUUUUUUUUUAAUAAUGGUUAUUACAAAUCUUAAACCUCAGUUUAUAAUAAGAAUGUUCAGUACGUAUCUAUUGGACUGUACUCGUGCAUCGCUUGUUUUAUCAAUAUUUAAGGCAUAAUAUCUUUUGCUAUAUCGAUCUCUUCAUUUUACUGUACACUCUAUUCGUAAUGUUCUACAUAAUAAUAUAUUAUUUUAUUUGGAGUAUCUCUAUUAUCACUCUGUGGUCAAAACAUUAUUUAAUUAAUAUGAGUAUUUCAUAUUUCUUAUUAUUAUAAUUAAUAAUUAUUUAAAUUUUCCCCAAUUAAUUUUUUUACCUCGAUAAUUUUAUUAUAUAAAUCAAAGAUAUUUUUGACGUAUGAUUAUUAUCACAUUAUCAUUCUUUUACGUAUCAAUUGCAAUGUGCAGUAAAGUGUGAUCUGUCACAUUAGCCUACAUAUUAUGCUAAAUAUUUUGCCAGUUAUUUUGUCAAAUCUAAAAACAAAAAAAAAAUAUAUAUACAUAAUUAAUUUAGUAUAGGUACAUCCUUUAAUAUAUACAUACAUUCAUUAAUAUUUAUAAAUAUUUCUUUAUUAAUACUAUUUUGUGUAUAUAAUAUUUAAAUAAAACCAUUACAUUAAUAUUAUCUACCAUCAAAUGAAUUUUAUAUUUAGGUCCUGCAAAUUUAAACAUGUCUUCAUUUAUUUUUUUUCAUAGUUUAAAUAAAUAAAAAAUAUUAUAAUUAAUACAACUUGUUAACAAUUCACUCAAUUUGAAUUACAUUAUUAUAAUAGCUACUAGUUUUUAAUUAUUAAAAAAAAAUAUAUAUUAAAAAAAAAUUUAAAAAAAAAAAAAUAGAUUAUUGGACCAUUAUUUUGAAAAAUACAAUUUUUUUCCUCAUUUAUUUCUAUUAUAAACAUAACUAUUGCUUAUGCAGGAAUAAUUAACGCUCAUCAAUUAUAUAUUUUUUCCACAAUAAUUAUUUAUUUAAAUUUGUUAUCCAUUUCCAUUUUUAGUAGUUAUUCUAUCGCACGUGUUAUCAACAGUUUUUAAAAAAAUAGAAAAAAAAGGAUGUCAAUCACAAGUUUUUCCUAUCAUUAUAAUAUCACUAAUCUUUUAUUAUAAGACUGUUAAUUUAUUCGUACAAAGACUAUGAAUAAAAAGUAAAAUUUUAUUAAUAUUAUUAUUAUACUUAGCGGAAUAUAAAAAAAACCAAAACCCUCCCACUAUCAAAAAUGUAUGUAUAACUUUUUUUCUAUUGUGUGACCACGAAAAAUUCUUUUAUACAUAAUAUAAAUAAUUUAAGACAAAAAAAAUACCCUGUUAAUUCUUCUAUGUUUAUUUGUUUUCAGAAGUUAAAUAAAACUUUAUACAACUUAAUUCUAAGGUGAUUUACUUUUGUUGCCUUUUAGUACCUACUUCAACAUACCUAUACUAGUGGUUAAUAAUAUUAUAUAUACCGUAUGGUCCAUAAAUGUGUCAGAAGAAAUAUCUGAAGAAAAUAUAAUAAAUAUUAUGUAAUAGGUAUAACUUACACUGACUAUACUUCAAUAAUAUACCAACACUUAUAUGAGUUAUGUGGAAAAGUCAUAGUAUUUACUAGGUACUAUUAAUGGAAUCAUUUACAUUUACGAUAAACUCUGGAUAUUUUGUUUGUUAUCUAAUGUAAAUAAAUACUUUUAAACAUAUAAAUGUAUAUUGCACAUUAUAAAAUCUAAUAUUAAGUAUGUAUAAUGUAUUUUGUCCUGGAUCCAGGCAAUUUGUCCUGCAAAUCCAGUAGACAUUUUAACCUAGUACACUAGGUGACAAAAAUGUUGAGCAGUAAAAAUUUCUUAUCAGCUAAUAGAUUAAAUUUCUAUUAAUUAGACAACAACAAUUUUUUUUUUCAUUAUCAUACGUAAUUUAUUAUUAGAAGAAUAGCAAUAAAAAGAGUUUCUUGAAUAAUUACAGAAAUAUAUAGAUAUUAUUUGUCUACGAAAAAAACUUUUAUAUUCUGAGUGAAGAGAAGAAGCUUGGUCUUACAAAGAUAUUUAUAUUUUUUUUCUUGUUCUGUGAACAACUUUUCUACCAGUAAUUUUGCACCAACUUAUAAUGAUAACAAUUUUUUUUUUAAGGAAAUUGCACUGGGGAAGUAUUUUAGAGAGGUUAUUAUUCAAUUUUCUCAAGAUUUUUCUCAACAAAUAUGAAAAACCAAAAUAAAAAAGCAGAGCAAAAACGGGAUCCAUCUUAGUUUUAAAAUUGGAAUAAUUGUAAUUUUACCAUAAUAUAACAUAAAUAUUGUUGACAAAGCAGCACUAUCAACUGAACUCUGCUCAGAAUUGUUUUUUCGUUAGCAACGGUUUAUUGAUGCUUACAGGUGUACACUGUACAUUAAA